ensembl:lincRNA Gm26981 predicted gene, 26981
GAGACAGGGUUUUUCUGUAUAGCCCUGGCUGUACUGGAACUCACUCUGUAGACCAGGCUGGCCUCGAAUUAAGAAAUCCGCCUGCCUCUGCCUCCAGAGUGCUGGGAUUAAAGGCAUGUGCCACCACACAUUUGAGUACAGAAGAGAAUGUGAAAUGGUCUAAUUUUUAAAAGAGCUUUACAACUUAGUGAUUUUUUUUUCCUUUUUAAAAAACACAAUCUCACAUAGCUUAAGCUGUAGCUUACUCUGAGCUCACUGUGUGGGGGAAGAAUACCUUGAACUUCUGAUCUUUGUGCCUUUACUUCUUGAGUGUUGGAAUUACAGGUAUGCCUGUUUAUCAUAGUGAUGGAGGCAAAUAUAGGGCUUCGUGCAUACUGGGCAAACACUACCAACUGAGCUGCAGCCCCGACUCAUUAGUUUAUUUCACGAAUAUAACUUGAAAAAUAAGAGGACAGAGGGCUUUCAAUUAUGUAGAAUUUGUUCACAGAACCCACUAACUUAAAUGUUGUUUUAAUGUUAAAACGGAAAUUCAUAUCCCUUAAUAUCCUUUCAUAUAUUUCUGGGGCUAUGUUAAAAAAAUAAAACAACCAACCAACAACAAAAAAAGGGCAGUGGUGGCACAUGCCUUUAAUCCCAGCACCUGGGAGGCAGAGGCAGGUGGAUUUCUGAGUUCGAGGCCAGCCUGGUCUACAGAGUGAGUUCCAGGACAGCCAGGGCUACACAGAGAAACCCUCUCUCAAAAAAACCUUAUUAGGUAAUAGGAAUGCAAACCAGGGCUGGGCAUGGUGGUACCUGCUUUCAUCCUAGCAUCCAGGAAGAAGCAGGCAGAACUUUGUGAGUUAGAAGCCAGCCAAUAGAUGGAGCCAUCUGAAGACGAAACUUAGUGCUUUGUACACACAAACAUGGCAUGAUUACACUUCGCCAGAUCUCAUUAAAAUUUUGAAAUUGUGUGCUGGGAGGUUAAGAGUCCAUUCCAGCACUCACCUUCGAACUCACAACCAUCCAGGGAAUCUAGAAACCUCAUAUGACAUUUAUUGGCGCCUAUACAUAAACAAACAUGCUUUCCCCCUCUCUCAAGGAGCUCAUAAAGUUUUAGUCUAAAAAUAUAUUAAGCUCAGUUAAGGGCAGAACUGUCUUUCUUCCAUUCAUUUUGGAGAUACUCCAUAGGCACAAGUAUCUUUAGAUCUUGUUACUAUGUUUUCAGGGUCAUGACACUCAAUAGAUGAUAUAAACCUUUAUAUUCUGAAUUUGUGCCUGAGCAUAUGUGCAGCACAUUCAUGCAGAUGCUCAUGGAGGCAAGAGGGUGUCAGAACUCCUGGAACUGUAAUUUGUGAGACAUCAAAUUUAGGUACUGUGAUUUCUGCAAGAGCAAGGGCUCUUAACUGAUCUGUCAUCUUCCCCGUCCCUAACAGACUUUACUUCUAAAUACAUGGGCAAUUGUACAUGUCCCUGUUGUAGACUAGCCUAUUACACCAGGGAUCAGACGCUAAGUCAAAUUCUAAGGGACUAAGCAACCUACCAGUUUUAUAAUUUAACAAGAUAUUCAUUUAACUAUUACACUACAACUACUGUGUACAUGCCAAGCAGGAGAAAAGGCUCAAUUCAUGUAACACCAUCUGGCUACUAAGUGCAGCUUGCUGGUGUGUGAACGUCUUUUGCUGCAGCAAAGAGGAGCUAGAAAGUAGAUUGUAAUCAGCUUUUGGAGAGAGGGCGUUAUAAAUCUUGAAGGUGAUUUCUCUACUUCUAUUGGUUGACUACCACUUUCUAAGUCAUAUAACAUUAUACAUUCAUUCACAAUUAUUUUCUUUAAAAAAAAAAGCGAAUUGGCUGGGCAGUGGUGGCCAUGCACACCUUUAUUCCCAGCACUCAGUGGGCAGAGGCAGGCAGGAACUCAAGACCAGCCUGGUUUAUAGAGCAAAUUCUCAGACAGCCAGGAUUACAGACUGAAAUCCUGUCUUGAAAACAAUAAAACAAGCCCGGUAGUGGUGGCGCACAACUUUAAUCCUAGCACUUGGGAGGCAGAGGCAGGUGGGCUGACAAGUUUGGGGUCAAGCUGGUCUACAAGGUAAAACUGUCUUAAAAAGCCACUUUAUUCUAAAACUGUAAUAUAUCUACUGUACUAACAGUACCAUAUGACCCAGGCAGAUUAACUGUUCUGGAAGGGAAAUAACCAUAGAAAGCCCUGUAUCCUAUAUGCUUAGGAUCAACAAGGUAGUAUUCAGUUCUUGGAACUUAGAAUAGCAGUGGUCUAUGUGUGUAUUGUAACAUGCCCAGGCACCACCACAGGUUGGCACUAGGAAUCAGAGAUCAGUACCUCUGUUACUAAGUACCACUUACAGUUAAGUAGUAUCAGUACUGAUAGGUCAGAUUCUGGUCUAAGGCUUCCUAUGUAGAGCAGAGGGGCUUGGGAAUCAUUCUUUACGUUUACUAUUGUGUUUGUCCAAGAAAUGUUUUUGUCUAGAUUGCUUUUCAUUCUGGACAACCAUGUGAAAAUCUGUGUGUGUAUAAGGAUUAAGAACUGUUGACUUGUGAGCUAUGAACACGAACUCCAAAAAUCUUGGUACAUUUUUCUUGGAGAGAGGAGUUGAUCAAUGAUUACACUGUAAAGACAAAACAGAGAUAAUUAUUGCAGCAUAGAUAAUAUACAUCUGCAGCCUUAAAAACAUAUGCAGUUCUAGGCCAGGAAUGGUGGUACAUACCUUUAAUUCCAGUAACUAGGAUGUUUUCUGAGACAUGAUCUUGGAAUGCCUGACUCAGCUCUUAACUGAAGCUUUCAGUCCCGGUAUGUUUAUGAAAUCAUGCACAGAUGGUAUGCUUUAAACAGAACUUUUGUCACCAGGUCUGUAUGACAAUGAUUGCUGCACCUCUUUGGGAUAUGUGCAGAAAACUUAAAAUACUCAACAAUGUAAUUUUCUUCCUGCUUUUCCUUGAUCCAAGUAGCAGUUCCUGUACAGUGGACUAAGGUUGAACAAACCUGUUAUAUUUUCAGCUCCUCUCCUUGUUAACCCUCGUUCUUAGGGUUUUUAUUGUUACUGUAUAACAGUGUAUGUGAGUUCAGGUAAGGUCAGGGAACAACUUUCCAGAGGUUUUCCUUGUAAUGUGGGUUCUGGGGUUCAAACAAAUCAGGUUUACCUUCUGAGUUACCUGGACAGCCU